UCCAGCAGCAGCGCAAAAAUGCAGCGCGUGCGCAGCUCCAGCAGCGCGCGCAAAAAUGCAAACAUGUGAAUUUGACACAAACAAGUUGAGAUGCAUAAAAGUUCAUGCCCAUAAGUUCAUCCAACCAAGUUCAAAAUGCAAACAAGUUCAAGACAUAUAAAUGAAAGACACAUCAUUCAUCAUCUUCCUCAUCUUCGUCAUCAUCUUCCGAAGACGAUUCUUCCGCCUCCGUAGAUGAAUCUUCCUCCCUAACUUCAUCACGCACCGCAUCACGUGAAGCUCCGACGGUGUUGGCAAGAUCUUCAACGGCGGCCGGAGGUGCACCCAUGCCUCCCAUGGCGGCCGGAGGUGCACCCAUGCCUCCCAUGAGAGAAGCAAAACUCAUGCCUCCCAUGGCGGCCAUAGCGUCGGAGGGUGCUCCAAAGCCACCCAUGCCUCCCAUGACGGCCG
rnacentral:lncRNA from 1 species